GUAAACACUGUAUAUCUAAUGUUCCGGUUUACUUCGGUGCCUGGACAUGUAAGCUUACUUGUUCAUCUUACCAUAAAAUUAGGCAGUUUAUGUUUAUUAGCAUGUUAAGUAGAACACAUACUUCACAACUGUAUGUCUAACUGGUUUUACAAGGCAUCAAGCCCAUAUUAAGUUGCGUGUCUAGUUAAAUAUAAAAUGCGAGCUGGCGACUCAAUGCCUGCUUUUAAUAGAG